rnacentral:rRNA from 1 species
UACGAAGGGGGCUAGCGUUGCUCGGAAUCACUGGGCGUAAAGGGUGCGUAGGCGGGUCUUUAAGUCAGGGGUGAAAUCCUGGAGCUCAACUCCAGAACUGCCUUUGAUACUGAGGAUCUUGAGUUCGGGAGAGGUGAGUGGAACUGCGAGUGUAGAGGUGAAAUUCGUAGAUAUUGGGAAGAACACCGGUGGCGAAGGCGGCCACCUGGUCCGGCACUGACGCUGAGGCGCGAAAGCGUGGGGAGCAAACAGG